rnacentral:misc_RNA from 1 species
CGGGGCAGCUCGGGCCUCGGGGCGUCUGCUGAGUGGGGUCAGAGCGUGGGUCCUGAGAUGCAUCAGUAAAAGUUUUCUGACGCAAUGUAUGAUCCUACAAAUAAGGAAACGCCAGAUAUAGUGCCGGAGUCUGCAGAUGAACUCACUCCUGCGUUGGGACUGCCGGGCCUGCUGGCCGCCCGGGCUGGUACCUUUCUGUCGCCGGAGGUCGGGCCUGUGGCGCUCUUCUCGCAGGCCUCAGACGCCAGUACCCACUUCUCUCCCGACGUUACCGCGGCCCCGGCCCCACACCAGGCGGAGAAGGCCGCCACCGCGACCUCCCAGUUACUCUUCUCACCAGGAGAGGAGGUGGUGCACUUGGGGCGCCUCCCGAGCUACGCUGACACGCCGAACCAUAUGGCCGUGGAGCGGUGUAUCGCUCUGAUGAGCCGGUCACCUACGGCUGCUAGUGGUCCGAGUCCGGCAGUCAGUCCGCGCCCGGCGCCCUCCGCGCCCUCCAGCUGUCAGCAGUUGGACCGGACCCCUUCGGUAGCCACCAGCCCAGGUCCGGCAGCGGCCGCCAGCCCAGGGCCGCCUGUCCCCGCGCUCCGGUGGCCGGCAGGGUCAUACGGACUCGACUCGGAUGGUGCGGAAUCGGACGGAGGCAGUCUCACCGAUUCUGUCAAACCCGAUCAGACUGCCGCAUAUACCUCGGGCGGCAGCUAUGGACUCUCUCAAACAGCACAGGCUCAGUACUCGGAGGGAAGCUAUUCGGACCGGGGGCUUCCAUCUGAGAUGCCGGACGCUCGCCGACCUCCACCGGCAGCCGUCGAGUACAGAGGACGGCGGGGACGUGGAGGCAGAGGACAGACGCGAUCCAAGCAGAGAUCUGGCGACAAAACCAGCGUCAGAGAGCGCCAGUCCAACCGGGGGCGGCGGGACGACCGGGAAGACUCUGCCUCUGACACUCGCCACCAGCUGUCGCUACUUUCGCGGCUCAGGCAGACCCUGAACAGACUGCAGAUUCAGCUCGAUGAUGAUGGUGAAAGCAUCACCAUGGCCAAGCUGCGAGAGCUCAAGGUGCGGUCAAGCAAGUCAGUCUGUUUAUAGCCCCACACCAAAUGUUAAAGCCGCGUUCGUCCGUGCUCAGCAGCGCUGGAGUCCCUGACAAACGGAUAUAUUACCAAGGGGGUCGCGGAGUCGAGCUGCCAGCGUGACUCAGAGGAAGUGGACGGGAAGGAGGACCGGUCGAGCGCGCUCCGCCAGCGCUCCCUCCUGCUCCGUCUGCGUACCGUGCGGCUGGUGGACGACUGUGAGCUGGCACCUCUCACCUGUCCCGGCUGGGAUCGUCCCGAAACGCUGCUGGAUGCUGGCGAUGAAUGGUGGAACUAACCAGUGACCGCCGCCCUGGGCUGCUGGUCUGUGGCCAAACUCUAACGGUUAGAACGAACGGCCAAACUCCAGUCCUAUAUCAGAUGGCCAGGGUCAGAUCUGUUCAGGACGUGCGUUAUCGGUUAAUGUAUUCGAUGAGUGUUGCCAAAAGCAUUGGCUCAAACUUAAGUUGUUAUAACUAGUGUUUUACAUGUUAUGGCUGUUUUAUUCUUGAUACCUGCUAUGUUGUGUUGAUACCGCGUUAUUUCUCAUCGUUAAUUAUGAUGUAACCUGAACAUUUAUAAUUUGAUCAUUACUGGUUGGAAAUAUAAUUUAGUUUUGUUUAUA